rnacentral:rRNA from 1 species
ACAACGGAGAGUUUGAUCCUGGCUCAGGAUGAACGCUAGCGGCAGGCUUAACACAUGCAAGUCGAGGGGUAACAGGAGAGCUUGCUCUCGCUGACGACCGGCGCACGGGUGCGUAACACGUAUGCAACUUGCCCUAUACUGGGGAAUAGCCCGGAGAAAUCCGGAUUAAUGCCCCAUACCACGGGAGAUGGCAUCUUCUUCCGUUGAAAGCUCCGGCGGUAUAGGAUAGGCAUGCGGCCGAUUAGCUAGUAGGUGAGGUAAUGGCUCACCUA